ACUCAAAUGAAUUGACGGGGGCCCGCACAAGCGGCGGAGCAUGUGGCUUAAUUCGACGCAACGCGAAGAACCUUACCAGGGCUUGACAUGCGGGUUGAAGCCGUGGAAACACGGCGCCUUUCGGGGCCCGCACAGGUGGUGCAUGGCUGUCGUCAGCUCGUGCCGUGAGGUGUUGCCUUAAGUGGCGCAACGAGCGCAACCCCUGUUCCAUGUUGCCAGCGGGUGAUGCCGGGGACUCAUGGGAGACUGCCGGUGCCAAACCGGAGGAAGGUGGGGAUGACGUCAAGUCAUCAUGCCCCUUAUGUCCUGGGCUGCACACAUGCUACAAUGCUUGGUACAAAGGGUAGCAAUACCGCAAGGUGGAGCGAAUCCCAAAAAGCCAAGCUCAGUUCGGAUCGGGGUCUGCAACUCGACCCCGUGAAGUCGGAGUCGCUAGUAAUCGCAGAUCAGCAACGCUGCGGUGAAUACGUACUCGGGCCUUGUACACACCGCCCGU
rnacentral:rRNA from 1 species